rnacentral:rRNA from 1 species
UACGAAGGGGGCUAGCGUUGUUCGGAAUUACUGGGCGUAAAGCGCGCGUAGGCGGUGAUCCAUGUCAGAGGUGAAAUCCCAGGGCUUAACCCUGGAAUUGCCUUUGAAACGGGAUCGCUAGAGUCCGAGAGAGGAUGGCGGAAUUCCUAGUGUAGAGGUGAAAUUCGUAGAUAUUAGGAAGAACACCGGUGGCGAAGGCGGCCAUCUGGCUCGGUACUGACGCUCAGGCGCGAAAGCGUGGGGAGCAAACAGG